UGGAGGAAUACCGGUGGCGAAGGCGGCCCCCUGGACAAAGACUGACGCUCAGGUGCGAAAGCGUGGGGAGCAAACAGGAUUAGAUACCCUGGUAGUCCACGCCGUAAACGAUGUCGAUUUGGAGGUUGUGCCCUUGAGGCGUGGCUUCCGGAGCUAACGCGUUAAAUCGACCGCCUGGGGAGUACGGCCGCAAGGUUAAAACUCAAAUGAAUUGACGGGGGCCCGCACAAGCGGUGGAGCAUGUGGUUUAAUUCGAUGCAACGCGAAGAACCUUACCUGGUCUUGACAUCCACAGAACUUUCCAGAGAUGGAUUGGUGCCUUCGGGAACUGUGAGACAGGUGCUGCAUGGCUGUCGUCAGCUCGUGUUGUGAAAUGUUGGGUUAAGUCCCGCAACGAGCGCAACCCUUAUCCUUUGUUGCCAGCGGUUAGGCCGGGAACUCAAAGGAGACUGCCAGUGAUAAACUGGAGGAAGGUGGGGAUGACGUCAAGUCAUCAUGGCCCUUACGACCAGGGCUACACACGUGCUACAAUGGCAUAUACAAAGAGAAGCGACCUCGCGAGAGCAAGCGGACCUCAUAAAGUAUGUCGUAGUCCGGAUUGGAGUCUGCAACUCGACUCCAUGAAGUCGGAAUCGCUAGUAAUCGUAGAUCAGAAUGCUACGGUGAAUACGUUCCCGGGCCUUGUACACACCGCCCGUCACACCAUGGGAGUGGGUUGCAAAAGAAGUAGGUAGCUUAACCUUCGGGAGGGCGCUUACCACUUUGUGAUUCAUGACUGGGGUGAAGUCGUAACAAGGUAACCGUAGGGGAACCUGCGGUUGGAUCACCUCCUUUCUAUGC
rnacentral:rRNA from 1 species